rnacentral:rRNA from 1 species
AUGGAUGGCUGGGCGCGCGACGACGCGGAGCCCUCCUGUCGCUAUGGCGCCCCAGUGGAGUGCCCUGAGGCCGCGGAUGCUGCUCCUACAUCCGCCCUCGAGGCUGAGCAGCCGCCAUUGGCUCGUGGGUAUGGAAGCAGAGUCCGGGAUGGCGAUCGUGCCAAGGAGGACUCUUGGACGUCCACCGAUUGCAUCGCUGCUGCCGUACCCAUGGAGUGGCGCGGCUCGAACUACUCUGAGAUGGUAUUCCUCCCUCUUUCUUUCCUAACAGAACUAUUCUUGUGUCAUCCCCUUUUUUAA